UGCAAGUCGAGCGGAGAGAGGUAGCUUGCUACUGAUCUUAGCGGCGGACGGGUGAGUAAUGCUUAGGAAUCUGCCUAUUAGUGGGGGACAACAUUUCGAAAGGAAUGCUAAUACCGCAUACGUCCUACGGGAGAAAGCAGGGGAUCUUCGGACCUUGCGCUAAUAGAUGAGCCUAAGUCGGAUUAGCUAGUUGGUGGGGUAAAGGCCUACCAAGGCGACGAUCUGUAGCGGGUCUGAGAGGAUGAUCCGCCACACUGGGACUGAGACACGGCCCAGACUCCUACGGGAGGCAGCAGUGGGGAAUAUUGGACAAUGGGCGCAAGCCUGAUCCAGCCAUGCCGCGUGUGUGAAGAAGGCCUUAUGGUUGUAAAGCACUUUAAGCGAGGAGGAGGCUACUUUAGUUAAUACCUAGAGAUAGUGGACGUUACUCGCAGAAUAAGCACCGGCUAACUCUGUGCCAGCAGCCGCGGUAAUACAGAGGGUGCAAGCGUUAAUCGGAUUUACUGGGCGUAAAGCGCGCGUAGGCGGCUAAUUAAGUCAAAUGUGAAAUCCCCGAGCUUAACUUGGGAAUUGCAUUCGAUACUGGUUAGCUAGAGUGUGGGAGAGGAUGGUAGAAUUCCAGGUGUAGCGGUGAAAUGCGUAGAGAUCUGGAGGAAUACCGAUGGCGAAGGCAGCCAUCUGGCCUAACACUGACGCUGAGGUGCGAAAGCAUGGGGAGCAAACAGGAUUAGAUACCCUGGUAGUCCAUGCCGUAAACGAUGUCUACUAGCCGUUGGGGCCUUUGAGGCUUUAGUGGCGCAGCUAACGCGAUAAGUAGACCGCCUGGGGAGUACGGUCGCAAGACUAAAACUCAAAUGAAUUGACGGGGGCCCGCACAAGCGGUGGAGCAUGUGGUUUAAUUCGAUGCAACGCGAAGAACCUUACCUGGCCUUGA
rnacentral:rRNA from 1 species